UACGGGGGGAGCAAGCGUUGUUCGGAUUUACUGGGCGUAAAGGGCGCGUAGGCGGUAGCACAAGUCAGUUGUGAAAUCUCCGGGCUUAACUCGGAAAGGUCAACUGAUACUGUGCGACUAGAGUGCAGAAGGGGCAACUGGAAUUCUCGGUGUAGCGGUGAAAUGCGUAGAUAUCAAGAGGAACACCUGCGGCGAAGGCGGGUUGCUGGGCCGACACUGACGCUGAGGCGCGAAAGCCAGGGGAGCGAACGGG
rnacentral:rRNA from 1 species